UGGGGAAUUUUGGACAAUGGGCGCAAGCCUGAUCCAGCCGUGCCGCGUGCGGGAAGAAGGCCUUCGGGUUGUAAACCGCUUUUGUCAGGGAAGAAAAGGUUCUGGCUAAUACCUGGGACUCAUGACGGUACCUGAAGAAUAAGCACCGGCUAACUACGUGCCAGCAGCCGCGGUAAUACGUAGGGUGCAAGCGUUAAUCGGAAUUACUGGGCGUAAAGCGUGCGCAGGCGGUUAUGCAAGACAGAGGUGAAAUCCCCGGGCUCAACCUGGGAACUGCCUUUGUGACUGCAUGGCUAGAGUACGGUAGAGGGGGAUGGAAUUCCGCGUGUAGCAGUGAAAUGCGUAGAUAUGCGGAGGAACACCGAUGGCGAAGGCAAUCCCCUGGACCUGUACUGACGCUCAUGCACGAAAGCGUGGGGAGCAAACAGGAUUAGAUACCCUGGUAGUCCACGCCCUAAACGAUGUCAAC
rnacentral:rRNA from 1 species